UACAGAGGGUGCAAGCGUUAAUCGGAAUUACUGGGCGUAAAGCGUGCGUAGGCGGUUAUCUAAGUCGGGUGUGAAAUCCCCGGGCUCAACCUGGGAAUUGCAUUCGAUACUGGAUAGCUAGAGUUCGGCAGAGGGAAGCGGAAUUUCGGGUGUAGCGGUGAAAUGCGUAGAUAUCUGGAGGAACACCGGUGGCGAAGGCGGCGUUCUGGACUGUUUCUGACACUGAAUAACGAAAGCCAGGGGAGCAAACGGG
rnacentral:rRNA from 1 species